AGUGCUUUUUUUCUCUGAGGGCGGAGUAAAAGGGGUCCAAUCAAAGACAUUAACGGGUGAUGGCAUAUGAGGCAGUCCCUGUUAGAGUGGAAGAGAGCAAAGAGGAACCGUGCGAAUAGUGUUCAGUUUUUAUUCAGAUUCGAUACUUGUUACUCAAGUUUGAUUCCGUUCUUUAAUAGUAUUUUAUUUCAAACAUUAUCCUAGCGGUAGAUUACUCACCCCAUCAAAUUCAUUCACAACAAGAUGAACCCAAGGAAAAGCAAAAGAGGGCCAUCAUCGGCUAACCGAUCUAUUCA
rnacentral:lncRNA from 1 species